rnacentral:tRNA from 1 species
GCCUCUAUAGCUCAGCUGGUAGAGCGGCUGAUUUGUAAUCAGCGGGUCGGCGGUUCGAGUCCGUCUGGGGGCACCA